rnacentral:rRNA from 1 species
UCGCGAAUCAGAAUGUCGCGGUGAAUACGUUCCCGGGUCUUGUACACACCGCCCGUCACACCAUGGGAGUCGGGAAUGCCCGAAGUCAGUGACCCAACCAUAUGGAGGGAGCUGCCGAAGGCAGGUCUGAUAACUGGGGUGAAGUCGUAACAAGGUAAC